rnacentral:lncRNA from 1 species
GAUCGAACCAGGAACCUUUUGAGUUUGUAGUCCGAUGCACUAACCGAUGUGGCUAUUGUAUAAUGGGUAUAAAUGGUCCGGUUCCGAGUUGAAAUCCCUCCAGCUACUUUCAAGAUGAAGAACAGGAAUAAAAGCCAUGCUCGUUGAUAAUUUGUAUUUUUUCUAUGUAUUGAUUGCGAUUUUGUCCCGUGUACAUUUAGUCCGCAUCUCUUUAUUUUCUAUUUAGGACCUGGACACCGCUAAAUGCAAGUUUACCCCUGAAAUGAUGUUAAAAUCGGCGUAAAUGAAAUGCAGAUCGGCGCAAAUGCAAAACGACGUAAAGGUCAUGUGCUUUUUCUUUUUAAUUAUUUGAUGCCGGAGGAUUGGGAUUUCUAGCUUUAAUGUAACCCAC